UGCGAUGAUGGCCGCGCGGGUUCA
rnacentral:miRNA from 2 species